rnacentral:misc_RNA from 1 species
CCAAUAGCGUAUAUUAAAGUUGUUGCAGUUAAAAAGCUCGUAGUUGAAUUUCGGGAUCAAGUCGUCGGUCGUGCCUCGGUACGCACUGGUGACAUUGGUUUCUCCCUUCUGAAGAACCUUGAUGUCAUUAAUUUGGUGUCUUGGGGAAUCAGGACUGUUACUUUGAAAAAAUUAGAGUGUUUAAAGCAGGCUCACGCUUGAAUACAUUAGCAUGGAAUAAUGAAAUAGGACGUUUGAUUCUAUUUUGUUGGUUUCUAGGAUCGACGUAAUGAUUAAUAGGGAUAGUUGGGGGCAUUAGUAUUAAAUUGUCAGAGGUGAAAUUCUUGGAUUUAUUGAAGACUAACUACUGCGAAAGCAUUUGCCAAGGAUGUUUUCAUUAAUCAAGAACGAAAGUUAGGGGAUCGAAGACGAUCAGAUACCGUCGUAGUCUUAACCAUAAACUAUGCCGACUAGGGAUCGGAUGAUGUUAAUUUUUUAAUGACUCAUUCGGCGCCUUACG